rnacentral:sRNA from 1 species
GGUUGUUUUUGGUUUUUUCAUGGUUUGACCUAGUUCCUAACCCCUUCCUCCUUGCUCUGUUUCCUCAUAGCUGUCAUGCACCUCCCCUAGCCCUUCAGGGGGAUUCUUAAUCUGGAAUUAUAGUUGGCUUUCCACCUUCAUCAACCACAGGCCGAAUUUAACUUAAUCAUUUCUGAGAAGCAAGCAGGUCCAUUUCAGUCUGUUUUAGACGCUCCAGGCUGGAUUCCCAAUCUGAUCCUUCCCAGCCUUCAGGACAUCCAAGCUGUGUUGAGUCAGUCCAUGCACUAUGCACAUCCCCUGUGCGUUGAUUUUCUUCUGGAAUCGAAAUGCCUCAAGGUGCAGACUUCACGUCUUGCUGGGUACUGAUUACCCACAGCCUAGCAGAGUACAUUUUAAGUGUGCACUGUGAGGCCAAGAAAGUAUUUAUUUUGGUACUUUAAAUUUUAAAUUUGGUUAAAUAUCAUUAUGUUGCUAGGAACAGGAAAUAAAAAUUAAUUCUAAGACUGAGAAUUUGGACUAGUGGUCACAAAAUUUAUAUGAGAUCAGUUCAAUUUGGUGAUUCGGUGGGUGUGUGUCUCUUUCCCCCACAGGGAGUGCUCUGUGGUAACCUAGGUGCUUCCAGAGUCAGAAACACACUGUUCUCAGAUGACUCAAGGCGCUCGCCUAAGUCUGCAGAGUCUGUGCAGCCUGGGAGCCUAGUUCUAAUGAAGCCUGUGUGAGAAGAGAUGGUGGCACUUGAGUUUGCUCUCCCCUUGGCAUCAUGUAAUGUGGCUCAUUUUGUUUUGAAGGUAGCUCGUUCCAUGGAAACCAGACAGGGUGUUGUUGAGAUAGUAGGCUGAUGUCUCAAUGUAACAUAUUGGCCCACUGAGAUCCACAAGGGUGUGAAUCACAAACCCGCCUCUGUACAUUUCUGUAUAGUGUGAAUGUUCAGGAUGUGUAAGGAAACCCUGUGAGGGAGCAGGCUAUCUGUUCUGUUAUCAAUCCUGUGGAAAUGUGAAGUUGAUGGGAUAACCACUGCUCCUGGCUAAAACAAUCCAGCUACAGGAAAAGAAGGUUUCUAAACCAGGUAGUUCAGACUCUAAUCCAAAGUGCACUUGGUUUGUUCUCUUUGGGCUUCGUGACUGGCACUGUGUAUUUAAAGUUCAGCUUUGUGUGUGCUAUUCUCCUGUGAUGAUUUCAGGACAUAAAGUAAGAUGUUCACAAAAGCCAACCUGAGACCAAUACUCUGUGGCAGUUUAGCGGCAAAUCCCCGCUCUGGGCAUUUAACAGUAAUUGGGAUCUUUCUAUUGGCUUUGCGUACGCUCAGAUUAGUAGUAAAACCUAAGCCCCUUUCCAUUUGGCAAAUGCUCACACUUGAAGCAGCACAAAUUCGAUUCUGAUUGUGCUUUUCAUUCGCACCUAGCUGAGAUUUUGCCUGAUGCUUUUUAAAUCCUCUAAUUUACAUACUGUGGUAAAUUUAAAAUAAGAACAGAUGAAGGCUGCUGAGUUCCCCAUUUCACUGAUGAAUAUGGUAUUUUGCUUCAACUAUCUAGCUGUUAUAUAUUCAGUGACCUUUAAAACACAGAACUGAAACUUGUACACCGUGCGCGAUGGGUUAUUAGUGUUGCCUUUGUUCUGAGGCUGCGACUCUGAGACUCAGAGCCAAGCAGAGCAUCUGAGAGCUAACUGCUGUAGAACUAAGCUCAGAACUUCCUGUCUGUCCCUAGUCAGCUGGGCAGAGGGGCCUAAUCCACGCCUGGUCUCCUGAAGCCAGGGGAGUGCUGUUUCCACUCCUGGAGGCUUCUCCAUGGCCUGCUGUUUUGAGAGCACAACAGGGUGUCCUGUCAUACCCACCUGUAAGGCUGUGUCCUCCGAAGGCCCCUGUGAUUUUGGUCAUGGGUCUGCAGUGCUAAUGGGAGGUGGUAAAGCCUUAUUGGGAGGCUCUUGUUACUGGGCAUUUGGGAUGUGCGCUUGGCCAGGAUAUUGAGGUUCAAGCUCCUUCCUGCCUACUGUCGGCCAUCUGGCACUGCCGUACCAAGGCUGAUGGUCACAGAGGGAAGCAACCACCGACUGAACCCUUGAAAUCCUCGACCAGGACCAACCUUCCCUCCCUGUAAGCUGACUAUCUGAAGUAUUUUCCACAGUGCCUAGCAGAGGCUGUGGGCCAGGCUUAGGAAGAAAGGUUAACUUUGAAUGGCUAGCAUGGAUUUGACUGCAGUUAAACGCAACAAGUUAUCUCAUUUAGUUAUCUCAUUUAGUAAAAAUUAGAAUAUUUUCUUCCAAAAAACCAAAUUGGACUCAGUAACUGAGAUACAAUACCAAGAAGCUCUCCUGUCUGGAGACCUGCCCUGUCUUCUUGUCCCCUGCUGUGUCCCCUGCCUGGUAGUGACAGCUCUAGGCCAGGAUUCUUCUGUUUCCGAAGUUUGUACAGUGAACCAUGUGGCUCCUCCCGACACACAAGUUAUUCACCAAAUCAAGACCUCAGUGCACAUAACAAAUGCGCUGUCGGCUAGCUGGGUGUCCGUAGGAAAUAUCCUUAGACCCUACCAUCACAGCGUCACCUGGACUGCUGCGUUGCUGUUUUCCUUGGGGAAGUAAGCUGAGAAACCUGCCUUCGUGUCAGCGAGGGCUGAGAAAAAGUCCCUGUCUCAAAACAGCAACCAUCCACUAUCAUAAUACUGUUUUAAUAACCAAAAUCAGCAUUAAUUUCAAAUUUAUGUGUAAUACACAGGAUUAAAAAUCCACAAUACACAAGAGGAAAAAUCUAGGGCACAUUUUUAAAGAGAACUCCAAUAGCUGUGGAAGGAAGGGUCUUUCUCUCUCUGAUGAUGGGACAGAUUCCUGGGAAAUGGCAGGGUUUGUUUGCCUGGCCUUGAAGACCUGUUCAUGUCGUAACCUUGGCGGCUGUGCUCUCCUCCUCUGGAUCCUCUCCUCACUCUGGGAGACAGAGGCUCUGAAUGUGAUGAAUGACCCCGAUCCAGAACAUCUGAGUCCAAAUGCAACUGACAGGAAGUCAAGCUGCUGCCACUGGAUCUCACUUUAAGCAACCCCCAUGCAUUACACCCACAUUACAAAGUGGAUUGGCUAAGUGGACAUUCUUCACUUAGCGACCUAAUCUGCACUGGUGGCUCCCUUGUAAUGCGUGUGCGUGUGAAGUCGUUCAUUAGAACCCUUUGCCUUCGCCACAUUUCAAGUGCAAAGCCCAUUUAUAAUGUUACUCAGCGAAAAAGUCGCUUCCCAUUUGUCCAGUGUUUACUAGAAACCAAGUCCAUGAAUCAGAAAGGUCUCUACACUUCAGCCAUGUGUCUUCAGAAUGAGGAUUAGUGGGGCACUGAUCUGUGCCAAGGGUCUGAGUGAGCUGCAGUGCACACAUUCCUCCCGGGCUUACCUACAUCAUCCUAGCUUUCUAAGUCCCCACCCCCAACCCCCUUCAUCCAUCAGGUGAACCAGGAGUGUGCCACAUCUGUCAUGGUGGAAACUCCAACUCCUUGGCUUUCUCUCUAGGUGGACAAAAGUCACAGAUUAGGUCUAAGGAGAGUUACCAGGUCUUGUGUUUAGUCUUGAUUCUGCCCUGAGCAAUAGGGAAGUUCAUGGUUGCCUGGCUUGUCUGGCUUGGGACAAGCAGGUGGCCCAAGGUCACAGGGCCGGUUUAGUCCUCAUGUGAAAGUGGUAGAACAGUCCUGAGGUUGGUCCAGGCUGAAGCAGGUCACUUUGCCCUUUAUAGAGAGAGAGCGUGGAGGCAGCAAGAUGGCUCAGGAGUAACGGUCCUUCCUUUCAUCCCUGGAACCUACUCCCACAAGUUGCCCUCUCAUCUGUGCCACCACACACAAUUUUAAAAAUAAUAAUUAACUAAAAUGAAAGUGGAUAUUUUGCUUGACGCUUUUUGGUGAUGGAUUACACUUUGUUUUUUUCUUUUUACUCUAAAGGCAGCCUCCUCCCCUACCCCUCACUGUGAUUUUCUUUGACCCUGUCUGUAUUCAGAUUUUAUUUCACUUUGAAUGCAGGAGUUGAGCUGGAUAAGCUGGAGUUCAUCUGGGAGACCUUUGUGUAGAUGCUGUCUUUAAUAAAUGUUAAAUACCGUCAUCAAGCUGUCUUGUCUUCACAAGUUUUUAAGGCUCUGUGCAUUAAUCUGGAUGAGGGAAGCAACCAAAUCUGUUUUAUUCAAAUUAAAAAUUCUAGGGGAGCAGAUUGUCACAAAACACAGUGAUGAACUUGGAGAGAGGACACCGUGAGGAAGCAUAGGUGUUUAUCACACGCACUACAGACUCUGGUGCUGCGUGCACAGGGCUGCCCUUUAGUUCUCUUUGGGGCAGACUCCGCCCACUCUGUAACAACUCCUUGAUUGAUUGCUUUAUAACUUUAUGUAGAAAUGCUAUAAAUACCAGAUUGAGCCCACGUCUAGUCUCUUGAUCUUGAGGACACGAAGGAAGUUACAUUCUCGUCACCUCAGCAAUGACAGGUGCAGAAACCAAAUGUAAUUCACUCAGGUGUCCACACUUUUUUAUUAGUUCUAAAUUUCUUCUAAAACCUACCAACCACACUGAGGAAGACACAGAACAGCCCUGCUCGUGUGGCCUGCGUGUGUUACGUGGUCUGUCAUGUCCUUGUGUCAGCAUCCUUGCAGAGGACUUCCCACUCUUUGUUUGGUUCUGACAAGCCUCACAGGCUCUUCCACAGAUGUGCUGAGCUGCUGCUGCUGUGAGGACAUGGCCGCACCUCAGUCUGCGUUCUCCUGUGCUGUACAUGCUUCCCUCCUUAAUGCCUGGGUCUGAAUCCCUCAGAAUCGAGUCUAAAAAGACCAUACCUGAUGCCCAUUCCUGCACCCUCAGUCAGGCUUUCUGUGUUUCACAUUUGACCCUUUAACCAGAAUACUAAGUGGCUGUUAAGGGUAACUACUGCUGUUCCCAAAGCAAGAGGCCAAGCGUCUGGCCAGUGUUGACUUCAACCACUGCUAGGCUGACCAAUGUGUUUACUUCUCUCUUCCAAUAAGAUAGGAGAAUGCAGCUGCAGUGCCAAAGCUACCUGUCUGUCAGAAAUGGUGACCAGGUGCUGCAGUGCCAAAGCUACCUGUCUGUCAGAAAUGGCGACCAGGUGCUGCAGUGCCAAAGCUACCUGUCUGUCAGAAAUGGCGACCAGGUGCUGCUGUGGCUGUGGUCUCUCUAGGCACCUUCUGGACUCCUCCGAGCUUGUUCUCAUGUGGUCCCAGCAAUGUCUUGUUACAAGCAUUCUUCCUGGUGGCACUCUAGUGUACAUAACAUUGUCAUCAGGGAAGGUCAACCUUGAGCUAUCAGGGAUCCAUUCCUCUGUGUCCCCCCAACUCCCGCCGCCACCGUCAUUUUGUGCUUAAGACCCCUUAGUUUCUGGCCUUUUUUACUUGACAGGGUCUCAUUGUGUAGCCUGGCUGGCCUCAAUCUUGAGAUCCUACCUUAGCCUUCUGGGACCCGUCACUGAUUGUCUUCUUGGUUUUCUUGAUUUAUACAGUUACAUUACUUAAUUUGUACAGUGUGGUGACACUGAAAGUUGUACUAAACAUCUUGCUAUCUAGUAGAAAUGUCCUUAUACCACUUAAAAUAACCAACAGAUUUAAUAAGUGUUUGUUAUGUAAAAUAAAAAUGAUAGUGGAAUACUGACAUUUCAGAUCUGUUGUGUUACUUUAAAUUAGAGGCAGAUUGUUGGACAGAGGAGAAAGGAAGAGAAACUGAUUUCAGCAAGGGAAUAAAGGCAAAGGCAGUUCAAGAAAGCCUGGCUUUCCCACAGCAAAAGCCACGCCGGCUUCCACUCUGGUUCACAUUACUGUGUUCUACACUCAUCCCACCUGGCCACAACUGAGGAAGCCGAGGCUCAGAAAAGGGGAAUGACCCCAGGAGCUCCGAGCACUGCAAAGAGGGUGCUCCUAACACAGACUCACAGGAGACCAAGACAGGGUCACUGGGGCAAAGCCUGAAUGAGGCAUGUCCCGUGAAGACAGAUAAGCCUCCUCAUCUACUCCUUUAUCUUCCUCUCAGUAAUAUCCGUCCACCCAAGUCCACACCCAGCAUCCUAGGCAGUCGCACCUCCUUUUCCUACUUGCAUGGACUCCCACAAGUAGAGUGGCUGGCCUUCCAGCCCAGCUUCCCAGCACUCUUGAAGGGAACCUCCAUCCUCAGCAAGCAUUGCCUGUUGGGUAUUUUUGCUUAAUUAUUAUACCUAUUUAAUGCUACUUAGAACGUUGUCAGCUGUUGAGAAAAGGUAAUUAUCACGAGUCAAAUGAGAAACACUUUUUUGGCUGCCUUCCGGAUACACGUUUCACUAGUACCUUGAUGCAUACUGAAGCCUGAUAGCAGAACUUUGCUAGUCUCCUCUUCAAGCCACAGCUGUUUCCCUGCUAAAUUCAUCCCAUCUGUCUCCCCUUCCGUGGAGCUCUAGGCAGCAUAGCGUAAGUACAGAAGCAGUUCAGUGCUAUUUUGGAUAAACAUAGCUGAAAUUUGAAUCUUUGCCAUUUGCGAUGCACACAUUUUGUUUUACUGCUGUAAAGAGAGCUGUCAAAAUACAACUACAUGGAUAAUUUACUAAAAUACAGUCAGAUAUAAGGUUGAUCAAAAGGAAAGUACACCAGGUCAGUCUGACCUCCCAGGGGCCUGUGAGUCUUGUCUCUGACCUCAAGGUGUGGCUGGGCCCAGCAGCCCCCAGCGUCUUUGUUUGAAUUCCGCAGCAUGGCUCUCAGGACUCACUUCCUGUACCUGUCUGUGACAUGAUUGGCAGAUUUUAAGAAGCUCUGUGAGCCAACUUUCUUAUUGCCAUGAUCAUUUGCAUCAGUAGGAAACCCUUCCCUUCUUGCUCUGCCUAGCAGCUCUGAGCUGUGUCACUGUUCGGCUGUUGGAAUGCAUGGUAUAGAAGCGCUUAGUACAGGGAGACAGUAGAGUUGCUGUUCGCUCACACGUCCCUUAUUUCCGGGUUACCAAUGCCUCUGAACAUAGCUGUGCAGGUUUCAGCCAACAUCACAGAGUGCUUUGCAGGCAAUGGGCGUGGCUUUUUAUGCAACUUCCUUUUCUGAGUUCUAAGCCCCCUCCCCGCCACACGUUUUGUUUUUUCUUUUCCAGAUGGCAGAAGUCUUGGCCCUAAGUAUCUGUGACCUCUUUGAGGAGCAGGGCCAGUCUCUAAUACAAGCAGGGCUUCUUGGAGAGGAGGGCGUACCCCAUGAGCUAAUUCCAUGGCAGAGUUUUAGCUUUACCUUGUCUCUGUCGCUUGCAGCCCUGCUUCGUGAUCUAGUAGAAGCUGCUCAGAAAACCUUUGCUGGCCAGUGAAGGAGUGAAAGUAGGGUGCAUUGAUGUAAGCCCUCCUCCUCUGUCUUCAAGCUCUUAUCUUGGGUCACUGCAGAAACAUGAGCUUCUGUGCUAUUCUGUACUGUAGCGACAUGAGCCUCUGUGCUAUCCUGUACUGUAGCGACAUGAGCCUCUGUGCUAUUCUGUACUGUAGUGUUAGCAGCAUCAUAAUUUUGCUGGGUUCCCAGCUGCUGCCAAGGAAAUGGUUUUCCUGGAAAGUUCCUGAGGCCCUCUGCACCCAGACAUUGUUCUCUUUCAUCCAAUUUUCUUUUCCUAGUGGUCUUUUUUUUGGGGGGGGCGGGGGGCACAUUCUUUGGAAGGCAAAAGUAAUGUGAUAGCCACCAAUGCAGACAACUCUAGUUUUACUGAUCAUACAGAUGAUAAUGGUUCUUGGGAAGCCUCUGUGCUAAAGAAGUAAACAGGUCUGUGACUCUGGACCAUGGUGUCUUGUGGUCCAGAGCAAGCAGGAGCUUUAGAAGCAUAGUCAAUGCCACUAUGCUGCUGUCAUCAAAUGUCACUUUCACUUAGUACUCACGUGUCCCCAGCACUUGUUGAGUACCAAAAGGACCAGCACAGUGAUGUCUCCAAGGUGUGAGGUUAAAGGAGGUCAUGGGUUAGUGUGAAAAGAGGCGGGCAUGGUCCACUGCACAGAGAGCCAGGCUGCAGAACACAGAAGGAACAGCUAAGAUAGGAAACAGGAAAAGGCUGCCAAGUCCUUCCUGGGGCUGUGCAGAAUGUGUGUAGGGCAGGGUAGAGCACUUCCACUCAGCAUUUUCUUUCACAAACAACCUUAGACUGAAGAUCCAAGGCUGUUUCCUGUCUUGGAAGCAGCACCUGCCUUGCGGCCAGCUUCCCAUGUGUGUCCGGCACCGUGGUCAUCUGUGCUUUGUUCUGCCCUCUCAGCUUGGCACAUCUCUUGGCUGUCUGACCUCUGAAACAUGCAGGCUCUCACCCUGUCUUCACGGCACAAGCCAAUCAUGGUGUGAAUCCACAGGCAGAUUUUUUUCAUCGUGAAGCCGGACAAAUCUUUGGCAGUGUGACUCACUGAAGUCACUGACCAUCUCUGAUCUUAGGGAUCUUUCCGUCAAGUAGGCACAUACCCACAUGCUCUCCGUCAGUCAGGUCUCUUAGGAAGACUGGCCAGGUAGACGAAGAGUGUGCGUUUCUAUGGGUGCCAAAGGUAACUGGAGUGAAUGAAGGAAAUAACUUAUUGAGAGCCUUCAAUGGGAAGAUGGGUGGGCGCUGUAGAUCCUGCUAACUCGAAGGUCUAAAUGUGGUUGAACAAAAGGACACUUGUGAAGUGGAACAAAACUGGCUCCCAGUAGCUGACAGGACCCUGAUUAACCUUUAAUCUUCAGUGCUAAUGAUUUCUACAAAUUGAAAUUUAAUGCAUGUGGUAGCAUUGGCAAAACUUCUGAACCUUUUUCGUACUAUUGGUAACUUAGCUAUCUUUUGUGCUAAUUGUUCUUGGGCAGUUACGCCCUUGUUUCCACCCCCUAGGACAGGCCAGUGCUACUCUGUGGACACUACCCUUUGCAUCUGCCUCUGCGGAUAGUCACAGAAGGUCACAGCUUGGCAAUUCCAUUUAGGCAAGCAAAUGUUUAUAAUGUUUAAUGAACUCAUCGAGCAGAAGCUUAAUUUGAAAGAGACAGAGACCGUUAAAAACUGUCUGUCUGAGAUUACACUGAAUAUUCUGUUGUACAUUCAAGGCUGUAUGACUUAGUUAACUGGAAUACCACGGAGUUACUAAAAACAAAACACAUUAUUAGACAUAUUUAUACACACGGAACUGUUUUAAACCGGUAAUGUUGGAAUAAAGACAAAAUAAUACUGUGUAUUUACAUAACACCAUAACACCUUUCAUUAGAAACAAUCUCAAGCCUUCACUAAGUGAGGGAGCUGUGUGGCGCCCUGCGAGGCUUGUGGGAUGGAGGGUAGGACGGGAGAGAGCACACUGGUGGCAGGACCUGGCAGGCACGCUGGCCCAGACCUGUGGCUCCUUCAGCUUUGCUCAUGGCCAUGCAGGUUCAGGUCGCUGCACAGUGGGAAGAACGCAGAAAGAGCGCGUGGAGGACAUGGGGCUGUGGACUCGUGUGCGUUUCUGGCAUGCAUUUGUUGAUUUUUGAACAUGAACUCGGUACAUUUACUCUGCGUUGAAUGGGAUGAACAAGCAUGGUCUGCACUGGACUGAACAUGGCCAUUGAACCCGCAGAGUAACUCUGUCUAGGCCCAGAGCCUGGUUCCUUCUAUCUACAUUUCUUAAGCCAGAAUGGAUUGAAGUAUGACAGCCAGUCUUUGGGAACACAGGAAAUGGGCAGUUUUUCCAUUUCCGGUCACUGGCAAAGGCAGGAGUGGAGCCUCCGCCCUUCUAGGGCCCAGCACAGAGGCUGCCCUGCACCUCCUGUGACUGGCCUGUGCUAGCAGCAAGUACAGAGAAUGCUGGGAGCCUCCUUCCAUCAAGGCCUGCCUCCAGCUUAGCACCCUGGAGUGCCCAGAGUAGUGGGCAAACACAGGGGUGAGCCGAGCAGAGAAAAUGAUGAAUUUUGCAUUUAGAAUUUGAAGGUAUUUUGGAUACCAUUCUAUUGGCUUCCCAAAACUCCUGUCCUGGAAUUCACACUGACUUGGUUGUCCUAGCCACAGAUCCUGAGCCUCUGAGGAAACAAAGGCAUUUUCAGUCCCAGAGUCUUGCUCACAAAGAAGUCUCAGUUUUGGCUUAACCUUUCCAAUUUUCAGAUAAUUUAGGUGUCACAGAUAUCCAGAGUAGGAUAGUUUUCAGACACUAUAAUUUGAAUGUCUCUGAAAUGUAAUAAAUAGAGCUUCAUCUGGGUUUUAGAAAUAAUGUUUUCUUUCCAAACAGCUGUUUGUUUGCAUUAACAAUGUGUGCCGUCUCUAGAAGACAGGCAUCAUCUCUCUUUGUAUAAAGUGCAGCUCUCGUUCCCAUCCUUUGAGUUUCGUUCAUUGCUGCCGUGGUAUUGUAUCAUAGUCCUUGUUCCAUGUUCACACACCCAGCCUGACCCAAGGGUCUGCAGAGGAAAGGGCUAUUCUUGUUUGUCCCUUCCCGGUGUGGUGACUGUUGCCUUCUCUUUUCCCCGGGGUUGGCUCUUUUACUGCCAUUCCAGUCCAUUUGUGACCAUUUGUGGGAGGUGUGUACAUCCUGAAUACAGCAGGAGUGAGUGUUUCCCUGUCUCUCAUUGGCAGAGCAAAGGAUCCUAGCUCCGUUCAGUGGUCCAGUUAGUACUGACAGAUGGCAGCCAGUGAGGAGUGAGGGAGCGGAACAUAACUGACAUUUGGCUGGCACAUAUCACUAUUUAAUGUCUAUUGUUUCCUGUCUACCUUGUGAGAUAGAUAGGGUCUUUGUUACUUUGAGGAAAUUAGGUACAGAGAGGCCGUUGCAGGCUACAAGUCCCUUGGCUCUGAACUGGCCACACACAGCUUGCUGUGUAAUGCUUCUGAGACGCCUAAGGAAGGAGCACGUGGUCUAAGCCAGGCACGGUGGGGCACAGCUUUAGUGCGCACCAGCACUGAGGAUUCAGGGGUAGGUGGAUCUCUGUAAGUUCUGGGCCACCCCAGUUUAAUUUGUGAGUUCCAGCUAGCCAAGACUACAUAGUAAUACACACACACACACACACACACACACACACACACACACACGUACGUCAUCUCUUUGAUUCAAACCAAGGCUCUACCACUCUGCCACUUGUGUGCUGUCACGUAGAGCAGAUGCUCACUGUGGUCUACGUUCAUCUGUAUGACUGAGCACGGCACAGCAGUGCUCAGAUCAGUGCCUGGCUUGUGGGAAGUGCUCUGUGAGUCAGGAUGCAGGGUGCUGUAGGAAAGCAAGCCUCCAGGUCCCAUCCCAAGUGGGCAGGCUAGGGAAGACAAGCACUAACAAGUCUGAUGGGGAGGAAGUUCAUCCUGGCCACAGCUGCUAGCAACAUUGGAAAUAAACUUUGGAUCUCCUAGGACAAGCCAGGACUCUGCAGCAUAUGGAAUUAGUUGAGGAUGAAUCAUUUUAAAUGUCAGCCUCUGAGAACAGAGUGAUACCCUCUACUGGACGGGUACUGUGUAGACGUCUACCUGGAGAGAUGAGGGUACUCCUUCAUAAAGAUGCCUGCAAUAAUAUUCCAGGGAUAUCACCAAUGGGAUACCUUGUACUUAGUACUAAGCCCCUCCGAGUCUCCAGGGCACAGGCCUUCCUGGACUAGACACCAGGGCUCUGGCAACAGACCCGAGUUAGUUAUCUUGGAGCCUGGAACUGCCUACAUUUGUUUCAGCUCCUAUUUGACUUUUAACUGGAUUAAUGUCUGCCUGCCGUUUAAUCAGAGCCCUGGACAAUGGGGUUCUAGAGGGGACCACUCCAGAGCAAGAGAGGCUUGGCUGAUAGACAUAGAA